rnacentral:rRNA from 1 species
GACGAACGCUGGCGGCGUGCUUAACACAUGCAAGUCGAACGGUAAGGCCCUUCGGGGUACACGAGUGGCGAACGGGUGAGUAACACGUGGGUGAUCUGCCCUGCACUUCGGGAUAAGCCCGGGAAACUGGGUCUAAUACCGGAUAGGACCCUGGGAUGCAUGUCCUGGGGUGGCAAGCUUUUGCGGUGUGGGAUGGGCCCGCGGCCUAUCAGCUUGUUGGUGGGGUGAUGGCCUACCAAGGCGACGACGGGUAGCCGGCCUGGGAGGGUGACCGGCCACACUGGGACUGAGAUACGGCCCAGACUCCUACGGGAGGCAGCAGUGGGGAAUAUUGCACAAUGGGCGCAAGCCUGAUGCAGCGACGCCGCGUGAGGGAUGACGGCCUUCGGGUUGUAAACCUCUUUCAGCACCGACGAAGCGCAAGUGACGGUAGGUGCAGAAGAAGGACCGGCCAACUACGUGCCAGCCGCCGCGGUAA